UCCUACCCUUCCAUUCAGCUGUCAAGUGUUUGUUGUUUCAAAUUCAGUAAAGUUUCGAGUUUUUCAGGCCAAUGAGCGGACGUAAGCCAGUCCGGACUCAAGAAGUGGCCACGUGAGCACCGCACUUUGGACCACAGAUCCAGAUCAUGAUGGGGACAACGGACUUCGAAUAUCCUUCUAUGCCCCGCUGCCAGCGGUGACUGACUAUCUCCGGAUUUACCACACCACCACCACCACCGCCACCGGACACCGACACCUUUGUGACGUAAGGACUCCGACUAGAGGGUACGACGGUCCGAUUUGGAGCCGCCGUCUGAGAACAGUGUAAAACACCAUAAAAAGUGAGAUAUCCCAAAGCAUUUUAAUCCACGUAAAAUCGAACAAUGGUUGCGUUUUCUUUGCCAACAGUGUGACGCUGUUCCUAGCCUUUACGGCUAGGAAAGGACAUAUAUAUCGCAAAAACAAUUCGUUUUAGAUUACACGGGAACCAACGACCUCGAUUUCGACCAGGCCAGAGAGUACGUGGAGAAGGUGUAGGUCUUUUACAGGCACGCAGGCAAGCAGGAGAGCGCUGGAGAAACCUCCAGCUACAACUAAGAAGUUGCUUCAAUCAGGUCCAACUCACUCAGAUGCGAAAGCCAAUAGCAAGUCUUUAGCGAGCAGGCCAUGCUGUUUAGGGACCUCUCCUACCGGUCUAUCCAGGAGUUGAAGGACAUACGAGACACCUUAUUUUUUUCUGUAAAACCUGAUAGAUGUUGGGAAGUUAUUGUUUACAGGAAUCGAAAGUAGAUUAGGAAGCUGAAUUACCGGCGGAAGACCCUUGAAUUUCGUCGCCAACGGGCGUCUUUCAGCGGAGCGAAUUGAAUGCGACAUCAACGCCAUUGGAUUAUUGGCUUAUUUGGAUUUAUUUUUUGAGUGCCAGUUUCCACACGCCAUAAAUCAAACGCUCCAAACUGCCGCCGCUCGGAUUCCGAAUGCAAUUACUCAAUUAAUUUGAAUAUAAUUGUCACAAUUUCCCACUUGAAACCACACAAAGCCAUGAACCGAUGGAUAUAAAACAGAGACACCCAGAAAUUGGGCGCGUUGGCGGGGCAAAUGAAAAACGAGAUCGCAAUUUUAAGCGCACAUCAAAUAAAAAUGUACACAGCGCCUCAAUGGAUUUUCCGAUAAAAUGUCAAAGGCUUUUAUGGAGGAACUGUGCCGCAGUCACUCCGCCAUCCACUUGACAGCAUGGAUCUGGAUCUGUGGCAGUGACAGCAAGAGUGAAAGGCGAAAAGGCUGAGUAAAAAGGCAAAGAACGUGAAGAGUCGACUACAAGAUACCUCUGAAAUCGAGACAAUAAGGUGGAACUAACGAUUUGAUUUACAAAACAAUGUGUGCUAAAGGUACAAUCAGGGCCAAAUUUUACUACUGUGCAAUGCAUUUGCGAGGCCAUUAAAAGCAAUCCGAAU